rnacentral:rRNA from 1 species
UGCAUGUCUAAGUACAAACUGAAUUAAAAAGUGAAACCGCGAACAGCUCAUUAAAACGGUUGUUGUUAACUGUAUUGUAAAAAGUUAAAUGGAUAACUUUGGUAACCCAGAGCUAAUACAUGCAAAGAAUCCUCCAAGGUUUAGGCUGAGGAGGUGCUCUUAUUAGUUCGCAGUAAGAAAUUACUCUGAUGACUCUGAAUAAUGUUGCUAAUCGAAUGAAAAACUCGAUAAAUACAAUAAACUUCUGCCCUAUCAACUCAGAUGGUAGUAUAUAGGACUACCAUGGUUAUAACGGGUAACGGGGAAUCAGGGUUCGAUUCCGGAGAGGGAGCAUGAGAAACGGCUACCACUUCCAAGGAAGGCAGCAGGCGCGCAAAUUACCCACUCCUAGAACGGGGAGGUAGUGACAAAAUAUAACGAUACCACCGAAAUUAUUUUCGUGGUAAUUGGAAUGAGUGGAUUUUAAACCUAUUUCAUGAGUAGCAAUUGGAGGGCAAGUCUGGUGCCAGCAGCCGCGGUAAUUCCAGCUCCAAUAGCGUAUAUUAGAGUUGUUGCAGUUAAAAAGCUCGUAGUUGAAUAUCGGGUCUAGACACUGUGUUCAUGUUUAACAACGUUGAUAUAGGGUCGGCUCUAUUUAUCGGUUCGAUUUGCAAUGCCUUUAACAGGUGCGUUGUGGAUUUCCGAUACUUUUACUUUGAAGAAAUUAGAGUGCUCAAAGCAAACAUUUAUUUGAAUAUUCACGCAUAGUAUAAUGGAAAAAGACUUAAAUAAGUUUUGGUUUUUACUGAAAUCUUAUUAAGUAAUGAUUAAAAGGGACAGCCGGGGGCAUCCGUAUCAUGACGAUAGAGGUGAAAUUCGUUGACCGUCAUGGGACGAACUACUGCGAAGGCAUUUGCCAAGAAUGUUUCCAUUAAUCAAGAACGAAAGUUGGAGGAUCGAAGACGAUUAGACACCGUCGUAGUUCCAACCGUAAACUAUGCCAACUAGCGACCGGUCAUUACUCUUUUGCAGUGACCGGCAGCUUCCAGGAAAACCAA